rnacentral:lncRNA from 1 species
GGUAGUAUACUAUGCUGAAAUUCGGAUGUUUGCAUGUUUAAAAAUGUCUGUAAGUUUGAAUAUUUGAAAGUUUGCAGCGACGAGGAGUAGUUGUCUAGUGUUGGUAGUCUACUAUGCUUAAAUUCGGAUGUUUGGAUGUUUAAAACUGUUUGUAAAUUUGAAUAUUCAGAAGUUUGCAAUGAUUAGUAUGCAAUGUGAUCAAGUAGUUUGGAUCUUUUAUUAUGUCCGAGUGCCCUAAAAUAGGACACCAUCAAAAAGUGACUUUUAGGACACCGAAAACUGCUCUUCCCCAACUACUAGAUCAGCAGACACACGCAGAUAAAUCGUAGCGUUAUGGCCACAAUUCCAACAGCACCAAGCACAAGUUAAUCCUCGCUUUUCAGUCACCAACCAGCAAACAAUCGUGGCGAAACAGCGCUGCCUUCCCUGCUCUUUCCUUGCUCUGGACUCGACACAAGAAUUAUAUAUCAUGCCCCAUGGUCGAAUAGAGGCCACAAGCAGCAGCAAAAUAUCAUGCCUAACAUACAGCCUUAAUACUAUACCGAGGUUCACAGAAGGCCCUCCUUGGACAACAAUACUAUNN